rnacentral:lncRNA from 1 species
GGGGCGCGGGCAGGGGUUGGGCAGCGCGAUCCGCGACCGUUGGUCCCCCCUCCACGGCCCCUCCGGGGGAAGGUUUCAAACCGCCCGCCUCCCGCUGAGGGGAGGGCCCUGCGGGCGGCCCCUCUGCAGCUGCUGGGGGCCAGACGCAUCCACCGCCCCCUCGAGGGACCUGUAUAGUCGAAGUAUAUUUACGUAAGGAGAGGCCAGGGUAAAAGCGAGGGGCGGAGAGGAAAAAUGGUCUCUGGGCACAGCAGGGUGACGCCGGGCUGAGGUGAAGGAUGGGCAGAAGCCCCUGCAGGCUGAGGUACCUCGGCCGCGGCAUGGCCUCGCCUCCAGGCUGGAGGAAAAGCCGCGUUUCCCAGCUCCGCCGCCAAAAGUAAGCGUGCGGGGCAUUCACAAGUCUUUGAGGCAACCCAGCUCGAGAAGUGUUUCCUUUUUCCCUUAAGAGCCAAUGGCACACACCUAAAAGCCCCCAAAAAAGCCUUAACGUGGAAAAGAAGGGAGUUGAAAGCCUGUGUGUGUGCCGGCGAAGCGGUCACCCCGCACGUACAAGGGGAACUCCCGAAGGCGAUGCCCGCACAGCCCGAAAUAAAAGUGCUAAACGUCCGAGAGCCGAGGGACGCGGAAACUGAAUGGGGACCUCCUCGCCUCGGCUCUUUCAUAACAGCAGGAACGCGGCGCGGCGAUGCGGUAACGCGGCGAUUAGGCAACGUUUUGUGAGGGGAGAGAAGGAAAGGUUCGGUAAUCCGACGUGAAUAAAGCCCGAAAGAGCCAACUAAGCCAUACCUGGAUCUCAUGAAUGCGGCCGAAGCCGUCCUUCCAGAAGAACUCGUAGAGAUUGUAGAGGGUGUUGGGUCCGGGCAUUUCGUGCAGACUCUUCACCCUGCCCAGCUGCGGGGAGGGCUCCAGCAGCUCCCCCGGCCGCGCCGCUUUGUUCUCCGCGCCGCUCCGCACCUCCAGGGACUGACUGCCCGACAGCCCGGGCGCCUGGUGAAACCUGCUGACAAAAAGCGCGUGCUGGAAGUAAGUCCUCUCGGAUUCAAGAACUCGCGUGAGGAAAGACAUGUCUUAAGUUCAGGAAGGUCCACUUUUUUUUUUUUUUCUCUCUUUUUCUUUUUUUUUUUUUUCUUUUUUCUUUUUUCCCCGCAGAUACUUUUUAUUUGGUUGCUCUUUCUUCGCUGCCUGCUUUAACUUGUACAAGCAGCACUACUCCAAACUCUUACUGCAUGAGCAUCAGUUUACACAGACCAUUAUUUAACGCUCCCUCCCCUAGGGCUGGAAAAGGGGGGUGGGUCUGGGAUGAGACUUGAAUAGAACGAACCUAUUAUUUCGUAUAAUUCAAAUCAGAUAAGUUUGCCCAUUAAGCGUGCAGUCCAAGUUUACUUUUUCUCUCUUUCCCCAAUUGCUUUGGCAAAAUCUCACAUGUGGAUUAUCCCAACUUUCUCCUUCAUUAAGAAGGUGAAUUUGGGGCCUUUUUUUUUUUUUAUCUUCUCCCCCCUCCCAUAUGUUAGAGAACACAGUAUUUUCUGUGAGUAUCAUCCAAGAACAUAUAUAUGGAAACAUUUCUACAUCCACAGAAAACAGCAACUGUCUUCCACGGUAACAUUACAAACUCGCAUUCCUGUAAGUUACAAUAACCAGGGAUGUUAUUUGUAUUACAGAGUUUGUUUGUGAAAGGAUGUACCUUGUGUCAACUUUUGUACAAAAUAUCCAGUGCCUUUCAACCAUGCACAAGGUUCACCUCGGCUUUGCCUCAAUUCAGCAGUACAGGUCUAUAACCACACACGGAGAACUUGAGCUCCAACCUGUAGAUCAGCUUCUUUUGCGCAAUUUCAAAGUCCUUUGUUCUACCUUCAUACCCACUUGUAUAUGCUCAUAGAAGUAUUAGUGAUAGUCUGUAAAAACGUCAUUAGCUUCAGAAAAGGUGCACAAGAGAUCCAGCUCAGUUACAAGUGGAUCACAAGCUCUGAUAAAACCAGAAAACAGAGGAAAAUUUAAGGCAAGAUCCACAUUUCUAGAACUUACUUUACCAGCAACAUAGCCAUGACCAAGUUUAGUGAGCUUCAAACUUAUUUUCCCUAUAUUCUCCAUGUUUUUGUGCACUUAUAUUUGGGGGCACAAACCAAUUAAGACUUGUGUACAUGCUUGAUUUUAUCACUGAGAAUAAAGUCCACCUCCCAUUAAACAUCAGCCUUUGUAAGCACAGCAUUAAGUGUUCCAGGAAUAAAAAUGCACAGGAUAAAUAGCAUCUAUAAAGUACACACUUGUUUUAAGCUGAAGUAGUGUCUCUAAAAUAGGGCUUCAUUAUUUUUUUAAGAAGUCUAGAGAAAAGCAGCAUAAAAAAAUAGAAGUUUUUAAAAAUGAUAAAUAGAGGCGGUUGAGAGUUAUUUCAUGUGGUAAAGAAGACUGCAUGACAACAGCCUAUAGAUGUAUACACCUUCUGUUAAGAUGCAUAUCAGAAGAAAAAAAACAAUAGUCAUAGUUUGCAGCUACAAAUGUCUUGGAUAGAUUUUCAGAUAGCACUGCUACCUCAGAUACCUCUGGGUUCUCCCACACAUUUCAGACUGCCAAGCUACCUCACAAGGUUAUGUAAUUGCUGUCACUAACUCUGUAAGAGCAGAUUUGAUAAACAUCUGUUGGGCACAGUCUGAGUGUAUCACAUUCUAGACUACCUUUGGAGUUUCCCUUUACUGACUAUGUUUAUGCCUGUUGUAGCUAUGUUAUUUCUUUAACAUUUGCCUGAAGAUGGUUUGGGAGACACAAUUACUUAUAAAACAAAUGGUUCUGGGGAAAAAAAAAUCAG